rnacentral:rRNA from 1 species
GAUGAACGCUGGCGGCGUGCCUAAUACAUGCAAGUCGAGCGAACAGACGAGAGUGCUUGCACUCUCUGACGUUAGCGGCGGACGGGUGAGUAACACGUGGGUAACCUACCUAUAAGACUGGGAUAACUUCGGGAAACCGGAGCUAAUACCGGAUAAUAUUUAGCUUCGCAUGAAGCAAUAGUGAAAGACGGUUCUGCUGUCACUUAUAGAUGGACCCGCGGUGUAUUAGCUAGUUGGUGAGGUAACGGCUCACCAAGGCAACGAUACAUAGCCGACCUGAGAGGGUGAUAGGCGACACUGGGACUGAGACACGGCCCAGACUCCUACGGGAGGCAGCAGUAGGGAAUCUUCCGCAAUGGACGAAAGUCUGACGGAGCAAUGCCGCGUGAGUGAAGAAGGUUUUCGGAUCGGAAAACUCUGUUGUAAGGGAAGAACAAGUACGUUAGUAACUGAACGUACCUUGACGGUACCUUAUCAGAAAGCCACGGCUAACUACGUG